rnacentral:lncRNA from 1 species
GCCCACUGUCGCGACGCCACCCACCGUCACUGCUACACCGCCCACUGUCGCGACGCCACCCCCUGUCGCCACACCACCCCCUGUCGCCACACCACCCCCAGUCGCUGCACCACCCACUGCUACUCCUCCCCCCACAGUAGCUACACCACCUCCUGCAGCAUCACCCACUGCUGCGACCCCACCUGCUACUCCACCCGCUGCUGCUACACCACCCUCCGUAUCUGCACCUGCUCCUUCACCGGUGAUGAAGUCACCACCUGCACCCUCACCUGGGGCCCCUGUUGGUGAACCCACUGCUGCUACACCAACAGGUGGGGUACCGAGCCCCGUUGCUCCAGUGCCAGCUCCCGCUUCGGACACUGGAAGCCCCGACAACAGUGCUUUCUCCAAU